CUAGUGGGCCUGGAGGUUCCCGGAAGUGGACGAGAGGCAGGUCCACUCCCACCUAAACCAGUGCUCGCCUCGCCCGGUCUAAUCUGGGCCUCUGGGGGACCCGCGCGAGGUGGAGUCUCGGAGACGCUCCCCGCUGGUCUCCGGGUGCUGGCGCCACCUCCCCUCCCUUUGCCCUUCACCACGCCCUGCCCUCCCUGGGCUGCGGCGUUUCUCUACGGCUGGGCAGCCGGCCUGUCCCCUUUUGCUUGCCUUCCCGUGCCCUCCCCAGAAUAGCGCCAGACCCGGGGUUUCCCAGAUGUCGCCUGUAUAACUUGCUCACCGGGUAACUCAUUUGAUUUUGGAGUUCCUUUAAUUCUUCUGAAAGAUUUCAAAGCCUCCAGAAUCCAAAAUGGGACACGGUAAACAGAUUAGAAUUUUACUACUGAACGAAAUGGAAAAGCUGGAAAAGACCCUCUUCAGACUUGAACAAGCCAUCUCAUGUGUUACCCCCAAUGCCAACCCUCCUCUUCUUCCAACUUGGUGUGGCACUUAAGAUCACCAAGUACUUACUCCAUUUUUGGCUUUCCUGACUCUGCACUUUUCUGGUUUUGACUAUUUUUUCCUCUUUUCCCUCUUAAUAUUCCUGUCAACUUAAUGUGUCUCACUGGACUCCCUUCUACAUUUUAAUUAAUUGCAAGUAUCUGCUAGGAAUCCUUUUUUUCUGUUCCCCUAGCCUCAAAGAAUUAUGCAUUCUUACUGCCUCAGCUGUUUCCUCUGUGCCAAGAACUCCUUAAAAGAGGUCCUUGAGUUUUGCUUUCUUCAUGGAAGCUUUUGAGUACAGUGUAAUGACAAGUGUAAGGAAUCAGCAUUUUCCUGGCUCUGCUGCUAACAAAUUAUGUGUUUUUUGUCAAGUUACAUUUUUAGCAUUAAUUCCUCUAUUUGUGAAAUAAAGAUAUUCUGCCCUUCUACAGAAGGGCAGUUAAUAAAUACUUGCUGAUCGAUCACUACAACUCUGAUUAAAUGUACCAAAACUUGGCAAAUUCAGCUAACCUGUUUGAAGAGGGAACUGUGAAGUUCUUAUGAAAUAAGAAUGAUGUGGUUGACUUUGUAACUCUAGUUAAAAAACAGUAAUUUCGUCCAAAUGCUAUGAAUGGGAAUAUGUCACUUUUUUUGUAGUGAUCAUAUUAUUUUAGAAGACAAUUUGUAAUGUGAAGGAUGAAUUAAAGAGAGGGAACACUGGGACAAGAAAUCAUCCAGUAGGCUCUUUUAAAAAACCUGUCUGGGGGUUGGGGUUGUAGGUCAAUGGUAGAGUGCUUGCGUAACCCAUGUGAGGCACUGGGUUUGAUACUCAGUAUAAAAGUAUUGUGUCCAAUUAAAAAAAAGCUUAAAAAUGGUAUCUGGUUAAAGAUAAGGAUUUAACAAUAUCAGAGUUGCAAAGGGGGACAGAAUGAGACAUUUUAAAAUACAUAGGACUUAGUAACCAGUUAGAGUGAAAAAACUGGGAAUUUUUAGUUUUUUCAUAGUUAAUUGACAAACAACCAAACCCUUCUUCAUUUUUCUUUUCUUUUUUCCCUAAAAGAAUUUAUCUUCAUUUUCAAGACUGACAUCUCUGUAGAUUCUUUUAAUUCAACAAGUAGAAGACUGAAUAAUUAUUUUCUAGCCAAAGCAUGAGUCUUUCCAUUUUAUUUAUCUCACUUAGUAGCAGAAUAAUGAACAUAAUAAGUAUUCUCCAUAUUUGGAAUUCUUCCAUCUUUUAUAUAGGUUGGUUAAAUUUAUCA